UUUUUUUUUUUUUUUAUAUUUGAAUGUAACCGUUCAAGUGGUCGUGCAAUGUCUACGUGUAAGGCUGCAAGCCAUGUUAAAAAUUUCCCCACAGUGUCUAGAGAGAUUAUUAGUUUAAUAUGGGAGUAUUCUAUAAUCUUUCCAGUGUCUAAUGUGGCAAAUCUAGUUUAAUAUGAUGUCAAAUAUCAAUCUUGAGGAAACGUAUUACAUAAAGAUUGAUAUUUGACAUCAUAUUAAACUAGAUUUGCCACAUUAGACACUGGAAAGAUUAUAGAAUACUCCCAUAUUAAACUAAUAAUCUCUCUAGACACUGUGGGGAAAUUUUUAACAUGGCUUGCAGCCUUACACGUAGACAUUGCACGACCACUUGAACGGUUACAU
rnacentral:misc_RNA from 1 species